AGGUCCAGCUUCCCUUGCACUGCCCUGCAUGGGUCCCUUGGCCACCAGGACUGCUCCUGCUCACCUCCGGCAAGAAGACAAGGCACCAGUGAGAGUUUAGGCCAGCCUGGCGGCCUUCACCUGUUUUGGACUACAACUCCUAUCUGCCCCAACUGGUAUGGCCAUCUCUGUGCCAUCUCCAUAGCUGUCAACGUUUCCCUUUCUUAAGGGAAAUUCCCUUAUUCCAAAUAGGAUUCCUUGCAAGAAAAGGGAAACGUUGACAGCUAUGGCCAUCUCUGCCUCUGGUGGAUAGGCCCAAAGGCAUGUGCCAAGCUGCAGCAGAGGGACCACAGCUGAAGGGUUGAGAGCUCAGCAGCAGAGCCCAGGCAAGGGUUCCAGGGUCAGUCUCUGGCAUCUCCUGCUUAAAAAAGGAUCAGGUAAGAGGUGGCACAAAGGCCCUCAGCAGAAGGCCCUGGACAGCUGCUGCCAGUUAGAACAGGGCUGCCAUAGGCCUGGAUCUUCCCGGACGUUACUGGGAUUUCAAGGGCGGAAUUGACUUCCGGGGGGGAUUUCCGAAAGGCAGCGCUUUCUCCUGGAUCUUAGGCAAGUCAAUCGAAACAACAUUGGGCUCAACAAUUUUGGUGGUUUCCUUAAAAGAAGCUCAAUAAUUUUGGGGUGUCCUGGUUUUUACUUUAUUAAAUAUGGCAACCCUGAGUUAGAAUAACAGACAAUACUGAGCUAGAUGUGAAGCUGCCUUAUUCCAGACCAGGCUACAUUCUAGCUCAGUCAUAGAGUUAUGCUUCUCACCUUCAGUGGGAAAGACCUGUCUCCUCUGCCUAAGACCCCAGAGAGCUAUUGACAGUCAAGAGGAGCCACCCUGGCUGGCUGGGCUGAUGUGAGUUAGGGAUGCAAUGAGGCAGCAACUUCCAUUCUGACCUGUGUUUGGUUUCUGCUAAAUAGUAUGUCAUUUCAGUAUGAAGGAAACAGCAAAAGAAGGUUUUUUUAAAAUCCAUUAAUUAUGCCUCAUUUGCAAACUUGAAAAACAAGAACAAUGAUGGGAACAAAUACAAAAAGGAUUUGCUUACUUGUUCAUGUCCCUGACCAGAGAUGCCCUGACCAGAGAUACUCUGGUUUCACCUCAGAUCGUAUAAAUCUUUCCCCUGACCAGAGAUGAGCAUGUGAACUGCAGCAAUUUCUAUUUGAUUUUUUGUUUUUGCCAGAAUUUUCCACCAGUGCUUUAUCAGGUAGUAUUAUUCUAAGAGAUAUCCAGCAGACACUGUUCUGUUGCAGCAAGCGCCAUCUUCUAAUUCAGUUUUUAGUAUGAUGGAUAUGCAAAGGUAGCUACUGAUGCAAAAAGCCCUGGGACCAGGGGACCAGCAUGGGACCAGAACACCAAAAAGAUAGUCUCUUCCCUUAUACAGUGGUACCUCGGGUUAAGUACUUAAUUUGUUCCGGAGGUGCAUUCCUAACCUGAAACUGUUCUUAACCUGAAGCACCACUUUAGCUAAUGGGGCCUCUUGCUGCCGCCGCGCCGCUGGAACACAAUUUCUGUUCUCAUCCUGAAGCAAAGUUCUUAACCUGAAGCACUAUUUCUGGGUUAACGGAGUCUGUAACCUGAAGCGUAUGUAACAUGAGGUACCACUGUACACCUAACUGAUCGCUGCUCUCUGCAGGAGACGGCGUCCUGCAGACACUGUUUUAUCGGGAGGUCUGUUCUGCUCAUUGUUGGAAUAGUGCCUUUGGUAUGGCAGCGACUACUUUUUGAAACCCCCUUCUGUUACAUAUUGAAGAGACACCAUCUCUAGGGUCUUCUCAUCAUCUGUUGGAGACUUUCCUCAUUCAACAACACUGAAUAUAUAGUAUAUAUAUUCUGAAUAUAUAGUACACUGUUUUUAUAUAGGUAAUGGUUUUUAAUGAUUUGUAUACUGUAUAUGCAAAUGCUUUAGAC